rnacentral:tRNA from 1 species
GGCCGAGUAGCAAAGUGGUAAUGCUUCGGUUUGCAAAACCGACAUGCGGCAGUUCGAUUCUGCCCUCGGCCUCCA